rnacentral:rRNA from 1 species
AGCGAACGCUGGCGGCAGGCCUAACACAUGCAAGUCGAACGAACUCUUCGGAGUUAGUGGCGGACGGGUGAGUAACACGUGGGAACGUGCCUUUAGGUUCGGAAUAACUCAGGGAAACUUGUGCUAAUACCGAAUGUGCCCUUCGGGGGAAAGAUUUAUCGCCUUUAGAGCGGCCCGCGUCUGAUUAGCUAGUUGGUGAGGUAAAGGCUCACCAAGGCGACGAUCAGUAGCUGGUCUGUGAGGAUGAUCAGCCACAUUGGGACUGAGACACGGCCCAAACUCCUACGGGAGGCAGCAGUGGGGAAUCUUGCGCAAUGGGCGAAAGCCUGACGCAGCCAUGCCGCGUGAAUGAUGAAGGUCUUAGGAUUGUAAAAUUCUUUCACCGGGGACGAUAAUGACGGUACCCGGAGAAGAAGCCCCGGCUAACUUCGUG